rnacentral:rRNA from 1 species
GCGGGAAUUCGAUUACCGCUCAGUAACACGUAGCUAACCUACCCUCGGGUCGCGGAUACCCCCGGGAAACUGGGGCUAAUCCACGAUAGGUGUGGAGGCCUGGAAUGGUUCCACGCCCAAAGGCACAACGAUCAUGUUUGUUGUGUGCCCGAGGAUGGGGCUGCGGCCGAUCAGGCAGUUGGCGAGGUAACGGCUCACCAAACCUUUGACCGGUACGGGCCAUGAAAGUGGUAGCCCGGAGAUGGGCACUGAGACAGGGGCCCAGGCCCUACGGGGCGCAGCAGGCGCGAAAACUCCACAAUGUACGGAAGUACGAUGGGGUUAUCUCGAGUGCAGUCCGAUAAGGGUUGCUUUUCCAUAGAGUAAUAUCCUGUGGGAAUAAGAGGGGGGCAAGACUGGUGUCAGCCGCCGCGGUAACACCAGCCCCUCGAGUGGUGGGGACUAUUAUUUGGCCUAAAGCGUCCGUAGCUGGCUGUAUCCGUCCCCCGUUAAAUCCAGCGUCCUAAGCGUUGGACCGCGGGUGAUACCAUACAGCUAGAGGGUGGGAUAGGUGGGCGGUAUUUCUGGGGUAGGGGCGAAAUCCUUUGAUCCCAGGAGGACCACCAGUGGCGAAGGCUGCCCACUAGAACACGCCUGACGGUCAGGGACGAAAGCUGGGGCAGCGAACCGGAUUAGAUACCCGGGUAGUCCCAGCUGUAAACGAUGCUAGCUAGGUGUUUGGGUCGGCCACGCGCCGCCCCAGUGCCGCAGGGAAGCCGUUAAGCUAGCCGCCUGGGGAGUACGGCCGCA